CGUUGCCUGACAAAUUCAAAACCUUUCAAACUCGCCAAUCGACAGAACAUCACUCUAGGAUCGAAAUCCCCGGCAUAGACUGCCGGAAAGACCGUCCCGGCAUCGAUCGGGUGGUUGAAGCCGACGGCCGCCGCCGCAAGCUUCGGAUCGAGAAACCCAUCGCCGUCCGUCUCUCGGCGGGUGAUCUCACUGAUUUUGCUCUCAAUGAUGCGAAACUCCUUCGCCCGCUCGCGGCACAUGUUGAGCGCGACAAAUUGC
rnacentral:misc_RNA from 1 species